rnacentral:tRNA from 1 species
GCCCCUAUAGCUCAGCGGUAGAGCUGCGGACUUUUAAUCCGUAGGUCGUGGGUUCGAAUCCCACUGGGGGUA